CAGUAGCCGCGGUAAUACGAAGGGUGCAAGCGUUACUCGGAAUUACUGGGCGUAAAGCGUGCGUAGGCGGCUUUUUAAGUCGGAUGUGAAAUCCCUGAGCUUAACUUAGGAAUUGCAUUCGAUACUGGGAAGCUAGAGUAUGGGAGAGGAUGGUAGAAUUCCAGGUGUAGCGGUGAAAUGCGUAGAGAUCUGGAGGAAUACCGAUGGCGAAGGCAGCCAUCUGGCCUAAUACUGACGCUGAGGUACGAAAGCAUGGGGAGCAAACAGGAUUAGAUACCCCAGUAGUCCCUGUCUCUUAUAC
rnacentral:rRNA from 1 species